rnacentral:rRNA from 1 species
AGUAAUCCUGGAUGAGGACAGUGUAUGAUGGGUAGUUUGACUGGGGCGGUCUCCUCCCAAAGAGUAACGGAGGAGCACAAAGGUACCCUCGGUACGGUCGGACAUCGUACCAAGAGUGUAAAGGCAAAAGGGUGCUUGACUGCGAGAGUGACGGCUCGAGCAGGAACGAAAGUUGGUCUUAGUGAUCCGGUGGUUCUGAAUGGAAGGGCCAUCGCUCAACGGAUAAAAGGUACUCCGGGGAUAACAGGCUGAUACCGCCCAAGAGUUCAUAUCGACGGCGGUGUUUGGCACCUCGAUGUCGGCUCAUCACAUCCUGGGGCUGAAGCAGGUCCCAAGGGUAUGGCUGUUCGCCAUUUAAAGUGGUACGCGAGCUGGGUUUAGAACGUCGUGAGACAGUUCGGUCCCUAUCUGCCGUGGGCGUAGGAAAAUUGAGAGGAGCUGCUCCUAGUACGAGAGGACCGGAGUGGACGAACCUCUGGUGCACCGGUUGUCACGCCAGUGGCAUGGCCGGGUAGCUAAGUUCGGACGGGAUAACCGCUGAAAGCAUCUAAGCGGGAAGCCUCCCUCAAGAUGAGUUUUCCCAUGAAGCCCGUUGAAGACUACGACGUUGAUAGGCAAGGUGUGGAAGCGCAGUAAUGCGUGAAGCUAACUUGUACUAAUUGGCUGAUUGUCUUGACCAU